GCCCGGAUGAUCGCGGCUGCGCGUGCGCAGGUGAGGAAAGUCCGGGCUUCACAGGGCAGGAUGCCGGAUAACGUCCGGUGGGGGCGACCCUAAGGAAAGUGCAACAGAAAAGAUACCGCCGGGGCGACCCGGUAAGGGUGAAAUGGCAGUGUAAGAGACUACCGCUGACCCGGCAACGGGGCAGGCAGUGUAAACCCCAUCCGAAGCAAGACCAAGCAGGGAGGAUAAGGCGGCCCGUCUUCUCCCGGGUAGGUCGCUUGAGCCGUGCGGCGACGUACGGCCUAGAUAGAUGAUCAUCCUCGACAGAACCCGGCUUACAGGGCAGGUC
rnacentral:RNase_P_RNA from 1 species